rnacentral:rRNA from 1 species
CCUACGGGGGGCAGCAGUGGGGGAUAUUGCACAAUGGGGCAAACCCUGAUGCAGCGACGCCGCGUGGGCGAAGAAGUAUUUCGGUAUGUAAAGCCCUGUCAGCAGGGAAGAAAAUGACGGUACCUGAGUAAGAAGCCCCGGCUAACUACGUGCCAGCAGCCGCGGUAAUACGUAGGGGGCAAGCGUUAUCCGGAUUUACUGGGUGUAAAGGGGGCGCAGACGGCAGCGCAAGCCAGGAGUGAAAGCCCGGGGCCCAACCCCCGGACUGCUCUGGACACUGUACGGCUUGAGUGCAGGAGAGGUAAGUGGAAUUCCUAGUGUAGCGGUGAAAUGCGUAGAUAUUAGGAGGAACACCAGUGGCGAAGGCGGCUUACUGGACUGUAACUGACGUUGAGGCUCGAAAGCGUGGGGAGCAAACAGGAUUAGAUACCCGGGUAGUC